rnacentral:rRNA from 1 species
AGUGCGGAGCCGAAGCGAAAGCGAGUGUGAAUAGCGCGUCUAGUUCGUUGGAGUAGACCCGAAGCUGAGUGAUCUAUCCAUGGCCAGGUUGAAUCUGCGGUAACACGCAGUGGAGGACCGAACCAGUUCAUGUUGAAAAAUGUUUGGAUGAGCUGUGGAUAGGGGUGAAAGGCCAAUCAAACUCAGUGAUAGCUGGUUCUCUUCGAAAUAGCUUUAGGGCUAGCCUUGCGUAAAUAGUUUGCGGGGGUAGAGCUACUGAUUGUUCACGGGCCCUUACCGGGGUACCAAGAACUAUUAAACUCCGAAUACCGUAAACCGUACCGCAGGAGUCAGACUAUGGGGGAUAAGCUUCAUGGUCGAGAGGGAGACAGCCCAGACCGCCGGCUAAGGUCCCAAAUCUGGACUUAGUGGUUUGAAGGAUGUGAUGUUGCAUAAACAGCCAGGAUGUUGGCUUAGAGGCAGCCAUCAUUUAAAGAGUGCGUAAUAGCUCACUGGUCGAGUGAUAUCGCGCCGAAGAUGAUCGGGACUGAAGUCCAGAACCGAAGCCGCGGACCGUGAAUUUAUUCACGGUGGUAGAAGAGCGUUGUAUGCGGGUUGAAGCCGAAGAGUGAUCUGAGGUGGACUGCAUACAAGUGACCAUGCAGGCAUGAGUAGCGAAAAACCGGAUGAGAAUUCCGGUCACCGAAAACCUAAGGUUUCCCGGGGAAGGUUCGUCCGCCCGGGGUUAGUCGGAACCUAAGGCGAGGCCGAAAGGCGUAGUCGAUGGAGGACAGGUUAAUAUUCCUGUACCACCUUGCUGGAGUGAUGGAGGGACGCAGUAAGUCAGGCGAGCCAACUGCUGAAUAUGUUGGUCGAAUCCCGUAGGGCGUGUCAUAGGCAAAUCCGUGACACAACAGCCUGAGAGGCGUAAGGUAUCCGGGCGCAAGUCUGGAGAAUUCGCUGUGACUACACUGACGAGAAAAGCUUCUAAACGUCGAUAGCAGGGUGUCCGUACCGUAAACCGACACAGGUAGGUGAGGCGAGUAGCCUAAGGUGCGCGAGAGAAACCAACGUUAAGGAACUCGGCAAAUCAGCCCCGUAACUUCGGAAUAAGGGGUGCCGUUUCAGGUGGAGGGAUUUACUCCCCGAGCCCGGGACGGUUGCAAUAAAGAGGCCGGUGCGACUGUUUAACAAAAACAUAGCUCUAUGCUAACUCGUAAGAGGAUGUAUAUGGAGUGACACGUGACCAAUGCCAAAAGGUCAAUGGGAGAGGUUAGCGCAAGCGAAGCUUCGAUCUGAAGCCCUGGUGAAUGUCGGCCGUAACUAUAACGGUCCUAAGGUAGCGAAAUUCCUUGUCGGGUAAGUUCCGACCUGCACGAAUCGUGUAACGAUGCCGGCACUGUCUCAACGUGGAUCUCGGCGAAGUUGUAAUUCCGGUGAAAAUGCCGGAUACCUGCGGAAGGACGGAAAGACCCCAUGAACCUUUACUGUAAUCUGAUAUUGGUAUUUGAUUGCUCUUGUGUAGCAUAGGUGGGAGGCUGUGAAGCCGCUACGCCAGUACCGGUGGAGCCACAGGUGAAAUACCACCCUGGUGCAAUUAGAUAUCUAACGGAUGCCCGUGAAUCCGGACUCCGGACCGUGUCAGAGGGUCAGUUUGACUGGGGCGGUUUCCUCCUAAAUUGUAACGGAGGAGCCCGAAGGUACACUCAGCACGGUUGGCAAUCGUGUGUAGAGCGUAAGGGUAGAAGUGUGCUUUACUGUAAGACCGACAGGUCGAGCAGUUGCGAAAGCAGGGCCUAGUGAUCCAGCGAUGGAAUGUGGAAUCGUCGUUGCUCAACGGAUAAAAGGUACUCUGGGGAUAACAGGCUGAUAGCGCCCAAGCGUCCAUAGCGACGGCGCUGUUUGGCACCUCGAUGUCGACUCAUCACAUCCUGGGGCUGUAGAAGGUCCCAAGGGUUCGGCUGUUCGCCGAUUAAAGUGGUACGCGAGUUGGGUUCAGAACGUCGUGAGACAGUUCGGUCCUUAUCCUCCGCAGGCGCAGGAUAUUUGAUGGGAUCAUUCCUUAGUACGAGAGGACCGGGAAUGACUGACCUCUGGUGUUCCGGUUGUGGCGUCAGCUGCACUGCCGGGUAGCUAUGUCGGGAACGGAUAAGCGCUGAAAGCAUCUAAGCGCCAAGCCCACCCAAAGACGAGAUAU